rnacentral:lncRNA from 1 species
CAGCCAUUAACCUGUCCAUCUUCAGAACCUGAAUCGGUAGCCAAAUCUCAGCAGACAGAGCUACGUAAUGCCAGAUAAAUCUUCUUGCUGAAUGAGAGACCCAUCCUACCAGCAUAAACAACAUUUGAACACUCUAGCCCCCAGCCUUACCAGCCAGCUCUCCAUUCUCUACACACAGAGUCUUUGUUGGGACACUCCAGGCCAGUUAUUUCACCAUCCUGAGUCUGGUCCCUCUCUGAGGCCCAGGGACAUAUAUUCAGUUCAGGUUUGAAUUAAGGAAAGAUACUACUACCUUGAUGGGGGAUCAGGACCACAGGACCAAAUUGAACCAGGCAAGACUGAAGGGGCCAAGGGAUAGAGGAUCCCCCUCCCGAAGGAGCCAACUGGAAGGCAACAAUUGGAUGGCCUGUUAAAGAAGAAAGAAGCUUAGGACAGGGAGAAUGCCACUUUCCAGUAUUACAAAAAUAUCCUUUAGGCAAGGAAGUAAAUUCCGCACUUAGAGGAAGAGGGGUGGGCAAGAAGUGUCCACAUUCACAGGUAUUUGUUCUCAAGAAGUGAGGCACCUGUGAUUCUCAAAAUAGUAGAGUCGAAAGGAAAAAAAAAAGGGAGGUGGAAGGGGAGAAAAAGAAACAAAAAACUACCUUUUGGGCAAAAGGAAUGGAAUGGCCAAGGCUACAUUAUAUACAAGCCAAAAGAACAAUUUCCAUUGACCUUGAGGAAUGUGUAAGGGCAAAGUCAUAAGCCGAGUUUAAUUGAUAAUUUCACUGUCCAUAUGUGAAGAAAGAGCAAUGAACCACAAGACUUGGGCUCAAGGCCCAGCUCUGCCUCUAACAUGCUGCAGGACCUAGGAUCAGUCCUUUCCUGUCUCCAGGACUCAAUUUUCUUGCUAUACAAUGAAGGGAUUGUACGGAGUGAUCUACAUGGACUAGCAGCUCUAAGGUUUGUAAGACUGUAUUAUAAACUUUGAAGAGAAUGAGGGAAGGGUCCAAGGAUUCUCCUUUGCAGCUUUCCUAGAAAACCAUGUAUCUUCCCCAUGAAAGGAAGAAUACAAAUAAUGAUGGUCAAAUUUACUGAAUGCCUAUUAUGUGCCACAUACUAAUGUCCAUAGUUAAGAGUCAAACUAAGACCCAAAGCCAAAAGAAAGUAUUGUACCCAAGGCCACAUAACUAGUAAGUGAUGUAACUGAGACUUCAGAUAUCAAACUAACUCCAAGCCUGUGCUGAACACCGUUCUCUUCAUCUACCCAGCCACUUUUUGUUGUUAUUGUACCUUUGUUUGUUUAUUCUUCCAUUCACUCAUGCUACCAAUGUUCCCUAAGUACUUUCUCUGUGCACGAAACUGUGUAAACACCAGUAAGCAUGAGAAAAGAUCUAUCAGGAAGUUCACAGUUGAGCAAAAGAAACAAGAAACCGUGAUCAGGAGGUUUAGAAAAGUUAUCUUUCUUUCCAAAGCACCAUUCUGAUUAUGUUUACGAUCCUCAAAAGGCUUCAAAGGUUCCCCUUUUCCUACAGGAUAAAGUCCAAGUAGCUUAGCCUGUUUUCUUAUCCCUCUGAGAUCUGGUCCCUGUCUUGUCUCCUCUCGACAUCAUUCAUUCAACAUUUGUUAAGUGCUGACUAUGUGCCAGACACUGUACCAGAGUCUUGGAAUGCAAUGCUGAGUGGCACAGACUUAGGCCCUGCUCUCCUGGAGCUUGCAGAUAUUAAUCAAAUUAUCACACUGAUACAGAAUUAGGCAAUCCUUUAAACUUCCAGUGGUCCAGCCCCACUUGAUUCAGGAUCCUUCCUUCCAGCAGAGGUUCCCAGCCCAGGAAGUACAUAGUCAUGCAGUUCUCCUUGGACUCUUUAGAUAACCAGUUGAUCUUUAAUAAAGUGAUUUGUCUAAUUAAUCAACCAGGAACAUCUGCUUCUGAAGAGAGAACUUUUCUUGGAUCCCAUGAAUAAAUGUUUAUUUUAUUUUAACAUAGUUUUUCAACAACAGGUUAAAAUUGCUGGCUACACACUACUAUGGAAUGCCAUGAUCUCCCUCCAGAGGAGUCUCUGCUUAAAGUUAAUUGCUUAUUACUUAUGUUCCCAAUUUAAUCCUAAAUUUCAAGAAGGCAGAGUUUUUGCCUAUUCUUGCUCAUCAUCGAAUACCCAGCACUUUGCCCAGUGCUAGGCACGCUGUUCUGUACAUGUGCUGGUUAGGCAUCCUUAACUACAUAAAGCCUUAAUUCAAAAUGAGACUGUGGCAGACAUAGAUCCUUACCUUAAAAAAAAAAAAAAGUUUUCAGAAGGUGAAACAGAGCCUGAGAGGAAAAGCAACUUUCCAAAAGCCACAGAGAAAGUUGAUAGCUUAAUUGAAGUUGGAACCAAAGAGAACCAGAAGUCCUGAACUCCUGCUAUACCACACCCACUCACACACCUUGAGUCUGAAAUGGCAAGGAGGACAGGUCCUCAAAGCAAAAAGGUGCAUAACUCGAGGCAGACAGUCUCCCAUCCCAAGCUUCUGUUGUACAUGAAUUUACAUCAGAGAGUCACUGAGCCGACUCUUUUAGAUGUAGAAGAGACCAUCUUCAUGGGAGAAACUCUUGCCUGCCCCCAAACAAGACCUCUGACUGAGGAAUAUAUUCAAUCACUCCCUCUAACCCAAACUCCCCAAAACACUAUUUCCUAUUAUGUCUCCAUAACCAAAUUCAACCCACCCAAAUCUCAAGAUUAGAUCUGUGAGCUCACAAAGGCCUAAUCACCCAAUUAAGAGGAGGAAAACCUGAUCCUUUCUAAACAAAGUGAAAUGUGAGGUAACCCAGUUGCUGAGAUUAAGUCUCACUCAGGAAGAAGCAAAGGAGCUAGGAGAGAAUGGGUGGGUCAUUCAUUAAACGGAAUUUUCCAGGAAAUUUGAGUGAUGUGUCUCCCCAGAUCUCAGUGUUCCAGGCCCCAGAACAAUGCUGGAGGCAAGGCCCUGGCUUUAGGAGGACCAUGGGGGUGAAGACAGCAUUACUCUCCUUGCCCGAAAUCCCUAGGUACUAUCUGGGGCAUUCUGAUCUCUCACUGGACAAAUGGCCUGCUAUCAAUGAUGAACUUUAUACUCAGGCCCAAAAAAUUCCAAGAGAAAAGUGCUUAGAAAGAUAAACUAUAGCCCACUACCAUCAUUUCAAUAGACUCAGAAAAUUCAACAUCCAUUUCAAAUGGAAACAAAACAAAGCUUUUGCAGCAAACUAGAAAUAGAAGAUACCUCCUUCCAUGUAAUAAAGGGCAUAUACCAUAAAAAAAUACAACUAGCAUUAUACUUAAUGGUGAAAGACUAAACGUCUAAAAUUAGAAAAAAGGCAAAGAUGUCUGUUCUUACCACUUCUGUUCAUAUAGUACUAAAAGUCCUAGCUACAGCAAUUAGACAAGUAAUAAAUAAAUAAAAGUCAUCCAAAUUGGAAAGGAAGAAGUAUAAUUGUCUCUGUUUGCAGAUGACAUGAUCAUACAUAUAGAACACUUUAGGAAGAACUGAGUUUUCCAACACUGGAGGCAUGUUACCAGUGCAUGUUCAAGGGCAUACAAAAAUGUUAAAGAGAAAGCAAGACUAGAUGAUCUCUUAAGAUCCUUCCAACUCUGAUACAGAAGAGGUACUCCAAGACAAAGAAUGGAGUAUGCCAAAUAAACGGUAGAGAGAAUGAGUGAGUGCACUAUGUUGAGAAGGAAAAGACUUUGUGCUGAAAGGGUCAAGAAGCCUUUGUGGAAGAAGCAACACUUGAGUAGUUUUGAUCUAGACUAUGGUCUAUAAGAACAAGCACUGUGCUGGGCAUAAGACUGACCUGGUUUUAUAUAUAUAUAAAAAUUAUCUGGUUCAGGAAUUGAAAGACAGUUUGGCAUACCGUUAAGGGCAAGGACUCAGAUAGACCUGGAUUCAAAUCCCAAUUCUGCCUUAGACAAGUGAUUUCUCCUGACAGAGCAUCAAUUUUCUCCUCUUCAAUAUGAGAAUAACAACUUCUAGCUUAUAGAAUUGCUGGAAGAAUUUGUGAAAAUGUAUUUGAUGUUCCCAGUAGAGUGCCUGUCAUACAGAUGUGUGCAGUAUGUAAUUGGUAGUGAUUACUCUGAGAAGGUGUUUGGACUUUGGUUAAUUACUUACUGAUUUCUGGAAUGAGACCUUUAUGACUGAUACAAAAAUGGACACAUAAACCAAUGGAACAGAAUAGAGAACUCAGAAAUAAAACCAUACACCCAAGCCAUCUGGUCUUCUACAAAGUUGACAAAAGUAAGAAAUGAAGAAAGGACUCCUUAUUCAGUAAAUGGUGCUGGGAUAGCUGGCUAGCCACAUGCAGAAGAAUAAAACUGGGCCCUUACCUUUCACCAUAUACAAAAAUUAACUCAAGAUGGAUUAAAGAUUUAAAUUUAAGUCCUCCAACUAUAAGAAUCCUAGAAGAAAACCUAUAAAACACCAUUCUCAAUGUCAGCCUUGGGAAAGAAUUUAUGAUUAAGUCUUCAAAUGCAGCUGCAACAAAAACAAAAAUUGACAGUGGGAUCUAAUUAAAGAGCUUUCGCACAGCAAAAGAAAUUAUCAAUAAACAGACAACCUACAGAAUGAAAGAAAAUAUUCAAACUAUGCAUCCAACAGAAGUCUAAUAUUCAGACUCUGUAAGAAACUUAAUAAGCAAAAAACAAAUAACUCCAAUAAAAAAAUGGGCAAAAGACAUUAACAGACACUUCUGAAAAGAAGACACUCAAGCAGCCAAUAAACAUGAAAAACUGCUCCACAUUACUAGUCAUCAGAGAAACAGAAAUCAAAACCACAAUUGCGUGCUAUCUCACACUAGUCAGAAUGGCUAUUAUCAAAAAGUCAAAAAACAACAGAUGCUGAUGAGGCUGUACAGAAAGGGGAACACUUAUUCACUGUUGGUGAGAAUGUAAAUUGGUUAAGCCACUGUGGAAAGUAGUUUGGAGAUUUCUCAAAGAACUUAGAAUUAUCAUUCAACCCAGCAAUCCCAUUACUGGGUAUAUAUCCAAAAGAAAAUAAAUCCUUCUACAAAAAA